UAAACAAAUUGUUCCUAAACUGUGUGUGGCUGUUAAUCAAACAAAUAAAAAGAAUUAUUUUUUUGAGCGUACACUGCAAUAAGACUUGAGUUUUAAUUUAAUUAAUGCCUUUUUAAAUAUUAUUUUCGUUCAAUUCCAGAAAAACUAUUUCAAAACAAAAGGUAAUUUAUAUAUAUUCCAUAAAUUUAAAUUUUUUGUUUUGUGAACUCGUUUCGUUUAUUUGUGUGCUCUCUUUUUUCUCUCUUCCUUUUACUUCUACCUAGGGUGGACUUACAUCUACAUACAAGUAGUGUUUUUUAGGGUGGACCUAAGAACACAGAUUAAGUGAACAAAAAUAUCUUCAGUAGGAUAUUAAGUCCAAGUUUGAUAAUGGAGCUUAAUUAUGACGGUACUAGGGACAGGGAAGGUUUAAAUGAAACAUUAUUCGAGUCACAAAGAAGAGACGGUUACCGCUUCACAGACCAUAUUAAAGACCUUCGACUGGCCUUCACUAGGGCCAAAAAUAAAACUUAUAAGG